rnacentral:rRNA from 1 species
CCUUACCUGGUCUUGACAUCCACGGAACUUGGCAGAGAUGCCGGAGUGCCUUCGGGAACCGUGAGACAGGUGCUGCAUGGCUGUCGUCAGCUCGUGUUGUGAAAUGUUGGGUUAAGUCCCGCAACGAGCGCAACCCUUAUCCUUUGUUGCCAGCGGUCCGGCCGGGAACUCAAAGGAGACUGCCAGUGAUAAACUGGAGGAAGGUGGGGAUGACGUCAAGUCAUCAUGGCCCUUACGACCAGGGCUACACACGUGCUACAAUGGCGCAUACAAAGAGAAGCGACCUCGCGAGAGCAAGCGGACCUCAUAAAUUGCGUCGUAGUCCGGAUUGGAGUCUGCAACUCGACUCCAUGAAGUCGGAAUCGCUAGUAAUCG